GGAGGCUGUUCCUUACUUCCACCCUCCAAGUCCCACAGUCCAUUGCAACAUCAGUGGCAGACUUUAGCUUAGCGGGCUUAGUUACUAAAUCUUACGCACGCUCUACGGAUAACUCCUUGCCUGCAUUGUCGAAAGAACAAUGUCCCCGAAAGUGCAUUAUUUAAUUUCGGUAUGAAACGGGGACAUAUAUAGCCAAUGGUAAUCUACGGCGCUAUUUAAAGAAAUCAUUGGUUAGUCAUGGCCGCACCGGGGGCUACACAAGGUGACGAGCAAGAAAAACAUGAAGAUGAAUUUCAGCAAAUGGUACGCCGUAUAGGUGGCAGGGAGAAGAUUUACGUGGUCGGAGAGGCUUGUAAAAGCGACGACGAUCAACGCAAUUCGUUGCAAACGUUCAUUGAUGAGAUGUUCAGCAGCGACUGUAAACACAGUCCUGACUCUGUAAGCAUGACUUUGAAUGACAACAUACGACCAAACACUGAACACCAGACUGAAAGUACCUUGAACGACGUGGCAGAUAUCAGAGACAUUGUACUUGCUACACAAGACAAGACUGCUCCAACUAUGGAUGAACAUGGACUUGGUCUUAAUGGUGACGUUCACAGGACGAUAAGGUCAAGCAGAAAUGCUACCGGAGCUGACAGAUUAAUUGACUCUGCCAUGAUAAUAUUUAUUUUCAAGUACGAAUAUAUCAGCAGCAAUUGUAACCAUGUCUGCAUCAAGGAAAUUAUGAAGGAUGUGAGAGCCCGCACGAAACACUCUCCAGUAUAUCCUGCUGUGAUUGGUUUGGUGCACUCCAUAGACGAGACUAGUGGGUCACUUAAAUCAGUUGAAGUUUUGGAACGUUUACUGCGCUCAGUGUUUCGAAAACAUUCCAGUGAAUCGAUAUGGGCUGGUCUUUUCAUUCCAAACACUGGGGAAAAAAUGUUGGCCAUCAAGAAACAUGCCAGCCACGCAGUUCACUCAUCUCUUUCAUCAGGUUGAGUAAUCUUCUAGAAUAAAUACAUUAGGUUUAUCCAGUAAGAAUGGGCUAUUAUAAUGUGAGGAGAACAAAUAACAGUCUCUGGUCACUGAAAUGCUCAUCUUGGUGGGCUCAUCGAAGACGAUCCAGAGGUCAACAUAGCAGCACCUCUCGUAGUGCCAUGGAAACUGUUGAAGGUAUCCCACUAAAGUCGAGUCUUGCUGCAAGAGGACAUCAAGGAGAUUUUGCCAAUGGAAUUGGCUCAUCAGGGAUUUGAAACCAUCUGAUAUGUAGUAGCCUAUCUAAUCUCACUUGGAACAAUAAUUUCAGUGGCAAUUUUGGCACUUUAUGAUACAGAAUGGAUUGAACAUGAAUAAAUUGUAACAUCACAAAUUCAAUGGAUGGGUACUGGAAUCAUUGUGAAUGUAAAAAAAUUCAGAUUUGUGUUUCAGUUGACUGAUCACAAUUUGUUACUUCAUUCAUUUGUUUAAUGUGGUGCUGUUGAUGCCUUCAGACUAGUGAAAUAAUACAUGUAGCCUACAUCUUGUUAAGUGUGGUGGAGAAGCCUUAAUGUGAAAUAACUUUCAGUGUGAGAUUUUAAAGCUCCAUUUACUUUGCACUAAUUUUAGUUAAACUGUAUGUUGAUUACUGAUUGCUGUUUCUUUUUGAUAAUAUUCUGCUCUUAUUUUGGAUAGCACCAUUUCUUACUCUCACAAAAAUAAAAAAAAACUUAAUCCAUAUCAGAUGAGAUGUCUUUACCGAGUUAAUUUGUGUUUUGUCAAACCAUAAAAGUAUGCUUGGCUGAAGAGCACAAAGAUUCCACGACUCAUUGGGAUCAACUCAAAGUUAGGCUACCCAAAAAGAGAAGGGCCUGUGAUCUUACUAACGUCUUCUGACCUAAAUCAACGCAUAAACGAACUUUGCCUUAAUGGCCUCAGAAAAUAUCUAUUCCAAC
ensembl:lncRNA